rnacentral:rRNA from 1 species
AUGUACAGAGAAUACAGAUCUAUUUAUGGGUCAUCCAUCGCCCGUGUUUAUUCCUCGGAGACUAACACAUGGAGCAGUCUCAUCUCUAUAGAGGCUUCACAUAAUAAGUGUGUUUAUUUUGGUCCUAGCACCCUUGUUCGUAAUGUCCUUUACUGGCCUUCACACAAUUGGGGAGACAACAUACUUGAGUUUGAUUUGGACACGCAAAACCUUACCGUGAUAAAGGGGCCUCCUGGUGUGAAUUAUUCCGACAACUUCCAGAUCAUCCAGGCAGAAGGUGGUGCCGUUGGUAUUGCCGUGUUGUCCUACAAUACCCUUCAACUAUGGCAGCGAACGGUUAAUCAUCGAGGUGAUGCCAUAUGGUUGUCGUGCAAGAUUGUUCUAUUGCGCAACCUUAUUAACAUCCCUCCUCGAACUGGGAGAAAGAGGGAAUGUCUUCGAUUGGUGGGGUAUGAUGAGGCUACCGAUGUAAUCUUUUUAGGUAUCCGCGACAGUGUCUAUAUGGUUCAACCCAAGUCAAUGCAAACCAGGCAACUAAAUGUGACCCAUUCUCCAAAUUAUUGUUACCCAUUCACAAGUUUCUUUCCACCAGGUUACUUGCAGAAGUGA